rnacentral:lncRNA from 1 species
AUUCUCAUCUUCUAGUUCUUUCAGAGUCCAGUGUUCUACUGCAGAGCCUAAAGUUACAAAAUAUAAACUAGACUAAUUCUGUGUAGUAACCCAGAGGGAGUUUUAAUGCAGAUUGUUUAUGCUAGAGCCCUCCUUUUCACUGGUAGAUAUGCACUUUAACUUUAUGCUUUUAUUGCUGGCUUAUAUAUCUUUAGUAGGGGAAGGUGGCAGUAGGUGGGGUUGAAGUCAUCAGGAAGGGUAAGUGGCACUUCCAGUGGCACUGUGUGUGUUCAUGACUGAUAAACUGUUACCUAGUGCCUUUGAGAAAUAACUUUCGUUAGAUCUCUCCAUUAAGGAUUUAGUAUAAAAUAUACAUGUGGAGAAGUUAAGUGAAUUCCUGGUCGUGAUGGUAUUUAAGAGUAUCUAACAAUCAAAAAGAACAAAAAUCAGCCAGAGAACUUGAGAAGAUAAGGUAUUAAGACAUCUUUUAACUUUAUGACCUGAGACACCAGAGUCAAUGACAGCAAUUCUUAAAACUUCUUAACGUCUUCAAAUGACACUAGAUUAUCCAAAGACAUGGUGUUGAAACCAUAGAGAGCUAGACUUUUCCUGAGGACUUUGAGAGCUUAUGUAUGUAUCUGUAUUUAGUGAAAUAAAUGGUCAUAAUGAAUAUUGAGUGAUGCUAGUGUGGACAUUUUCCGAGCAUGUUCUAAGUCAUUAAGUUAAUAUCAGUUGCAGAAUGCUUCCUGUAGACACAGCUUCUCAUAACGAAGUGGAUGCUGGAAGCUACUGAAAAUGAGUUUGUACAACAGGAUGGAUCAUAAGUCUGGGACUCUAGAAAGGAGGAAACAUUAAUACAGCAAUAGAGUAUAGAGUUUGUGACAGUCAAUGAAGUUGAGAGUCAGGGAUUUGGUUCGUCAGGGUUUCUAGAGGUCUUUCUAACCUCCAAGGUGUUCUGUUUGGAUGAAAUUUAUCAACAUGUGCACAUCCCAACAUUGUUUUCUUCUACAGGGUUCUGGAGCGAAGCAGAUGUUACUCGACCUUUUGUCUCCCAGGGUGUGAUCACAGAUGGAAAAUACUUUUCUUUUUUCUGCUACCAGUUAAAUACUUUGGCACUGACUGUACAAGCUGAUCAAAAUAACCCACGUAAAAAUAUAUGUUGGGGGACACAGAGUAAGCCUCUUUAUGAGACAGUAGAAGAUAAUGAAGUGAAAGGCUUUGAUGAUGAUGUUCUCCUGCAAAUAGUUCACUUUCUACUAAAUAAACCAAAAGAAGACAGAGCACAGCUGUUGACAAACCAGGAGAAAGAACUUGAUCCAAGACCUUGAUGAUAUUUAAAUUUCGCCUGAGGAAUAAUAAAGUCAUUUAAAGAUUGUG